UUUGACUAUGUAUCCGGCCCGAUGGAAGAAACGAAGUUCGUCUCUCCUCUGGGUGCGACGGCAACUUGGUGACCUUUGCGCUUCAUCUCGCUAGCUGAAACGGUCCGAGUGAUGGUGUGCAUUCAAUUCAUCCACUUUCUCCUUAUAAAUGAAGAUUUCUCGCCUCCCCCAUUAACCGAAGCUACUGUAUAUAUACGGGGUCAAGGUUCUCAAGAGAAAUUACAUAGCUUCUUCGAACAGAGAAAUUCAUCUCAAGGGAAACAGAGGAGACGGAGAGCAUCACCGGUGUCGUCUUCUUCCACAUGCGGUGGCAAAAUCCAGAUCUUUGAUUGCCGUUAAAAUCCCAGGUAUGACCAUCCAAUCGUACGUUGAGAGAACAAUGGUUUCUAAUAUUGUUUUCUUAUAUGUUUCCAGUAAUUACAGAAAUUCGUAUUUGGCAAAAUAGGUGGACUAGAGAGAGACAUAGGAUUUUAUCAGAAUAGAGUUAGAGUUUCUGUUUUUGAUGGAAUUUAAUAGAAUUGAUGUGGUUUGAUCAAUAGAAAGAAGAUUACAAGCUGAGUCUUGCAGAUUUCAGUCGUAUGUAUAGAUCAUACUUGCAUUUCACCUUUGAAAACCUUUGGAGUUGUUCUCAUCACAAUGAGUUCUAUAAAGUUUCGUACUUUACCUUAACCACUUUGCAAAUAUUAACAUUCUAUAUUGUGCAAUACUUUUACCUAUAAGAGCGAUUUUUCUUGCAUGUAUACCGAGUUAGAUUAUACUCUUGGAUUUAUUUGAUUUCAUUUAAGGUGUUUGUUUCUGCAUUGAUUUUCCUAAUUCUUAUAGUCCACUUUGGUCCAAGAUUCUGCCGGGGCUCAUUGACUCAAAACUUUAAAGCACCUGCUGAAGGAAGGUGCCAUCUGUGAGAUAAGCGUAUUCAACUUCACACGAAGUAACGACCAUUUCAAAUUCACUGACUCACCAGUUUCCCUUCGCUUCAACAACCAGACCAAAUUUGUGGAGCUUAUGGAGACUACUGUCUUUAUUCUACAGAAAAGUUCAGAAAUUUUUCGAGUUGUUUGUGGCAUCAGGAACACCUACAACGAAGAAAAUCAGGCCAUCAAAUGUAUUAUUCAAUAACCGACACUUCAUGGUGACGAAGGAAAGCUUCCAGCAAAUCAAUUUCUCAUUCUUGGAAAAUUACGAAGAUCUUUUCUUCUUGACUUGUAUAUCUGUUGUUUCAUUCUUAAGACGCUUGGAGAACACAUAGCUAGCGAGACAAAUACGGAACCAAGAUUUAGACACUAUACAUACCUUAUGUUUUGUAUCCAUCCAUUCUCUGCUCUACAAACCUGGCCUUACAUUUAUAGCUUGAAUUGCCGUUUGUCAGAUUCACUAAGAUCCACAAACACUUCUUCAUUACUAAAGUUAAUUUGAUUAAACUUAAAAUUGUAAAUACACCCCAAUUUACCGACAAUUCUGAUGGUAAAUAAACAACAACAUCAAGUGUAUACGUUUGAACAUUAAUACUUUAUUAUUCUAGCACGAAGCUUCUCUGAAAGCCUUCACAAGAGGCUCAAAAACAUCUCUCUGUUAUAUCAGUGAGAAAGGUUGAAAAAUCUGCAGCAACUACCUGUAUGAAAGCUAAUAUAGAGAAGAAGAAAUUUGAAGCAGUGGAAGUUCAGAAAGUUGAAGAGGUAUUCUUUUCAGAAUUUUAAUAUUUGCAGCUUGGAUUUUGAAAACUGAGAUUAUGCUUAAUGACUUAUGUGGGAAAUCACGUAAGAGAACAAAGAUUUAUUUUUCUACACAGUCAGCUAGA